AAACGCCUAAUUCAAUUAGUAUUACGUGUGCGAUAUCAGCUUUUCCAUCUCGAAAAGAGGGGGAAAUACAUCGCGUCCUCGUCCUCCAUCUUGCCUCUCAAUUUGUGUUCCUGACUGAGCUACUGGCUGUAACCAGCAGAUGUCCUCAGCACGCUGCGUUUCGCUUAUCUCCAAUAAACAGUGAAGUUAGUUCGUCUAAGGAGUGCACGACCAUUUACCACAUGUCGGUGCUGCCAGCGGCACAUUGCCCACAUCGUGGCCACAGAUGAAGCAGCAGUUUGGGUAGUAUUUUUCAUGUUCAUUCCAGGGAUCAUGGCCUUGCUCCCAUUGAGCC